GAGUUUGAUCCUGGCUCAGGAUGAACGCUGGCGGCGUGCCUAACACAUGCAAGUCGAACGAAGCACCUUUUGAGAUUCUUCGGAUGAUUGAUUGGUGACUGAGUGGCAGACGGGUGAGUAACGCGUGGGUAACCUGCCCUGUACAGGGGGAUAACAGUCAGAAAUGACUGCUAAUACCGCAUAAGACCACAGCACCGCAUGGUGCAGGGGUAAAAACUCCGGUGGUACAGGAUGGACCCGCGUCUGAUUAGCUGGUUGGUGAGGUAACGGCUCACCAAGGCGACGAUCAGUAGCCGGCUUGAGAGAGUGAACGGCCACAUUGGUACUGAGACACGGCCCAAACUCCUACGGGAGGCAGCAGUGGGGAAUAUUGCACAAUGGGGGAAACCCUGAUGCAGCGACGCCGCGUGAGUGAAGAAGUAUCUCGGUAUGUAAAGCUCUAUCAGCAGGGAAGAAAAUGACGGUACCUGACUAAGAAGCCCCGGCUAACUACGUGCCAGCCGCCGCGGUAAUUC
rnacentral:rRNA from 1 species